UGAGGAAUAUUGCACAAUGGGCGCAAGCCUGAUGCAGCGACGCCGCGUGUGGGAUGAAGGGGCUACGCCUCGUAAACCACUGUAGCCCGGGACGAAAAACGCCUUAGAGGCGUUAGACGGUACCGGGAAAGUAAGGGUCGGCUAACUACGUGCCAGCAGCCGCGGUAAUACGUAGGACCCAAGCGUUGUCCGGAUUUACUGGGUGUAAAGGGUGCGCAGGCGGAUGGGUAAGACAUAGGUGAAAUCCCCGGGCUCAACCUGGGAACUGCCUUUGUGACUGCAAGGCUGGAGUGGGGCAGAGGGGGAUGGAAGUCCACGUGUAGCAGUGAAAUGCGUAGAGAUGUGGAGGAACACCGAUGGCGAAGGCAGCCCCCUGGGCCUGUACUGACGCUCAUGCACGAAAGUGUGGGGAGCAAACA
rnacentral:rRNA from 1 species